rnacentral:lncRNA from 1 species
CCACCUCCACCUUCACCGCCUUCAGAGCGUCCUAUUCAGUCUCCACCUCCAUUUUCACCGCCUUCAAGUCGUCCCCCUUCAUCUCCUCCUUCUCCUUCGCCGCCUUCAGAUCGUCCCAUUCAGUCUCCUCCUUCACCACCAGAAAACACCAGUCCACCGCCUUCAGAUUCUUUGCCACCACCAACAUUCUCUUCUCCUCCGGUACCAGGUCCCAAUAAUCCACCUCAAAACAACCUUACUCCUAGUUCUCCUGAUACUUCAAAUCCAACUCAUAGUACUAGUGGCAUCGGUACUGGACCUAUCCUUGGCAUCACCGUCGCAGUGGCGCUUGUGGUGUUCAGUCUCAUUGGCCUCCUUAUCUGGUGCAUAAGAAGACGAGAAAAACGGCUUUCAGCUGUUAGUGGUGGCUACGUCACACCAUCACCAAGAUCAGGUACUACUUUGAUUAACAUGUCACUUUUGUUUCUUACAUAAUGCCAUUUCUUGAUCUCUCACUACACAUGCACAGACUCAGCUUUCUUUAGAACGCAGUCAUCUGCACCAGGGAGUCAUCGCACGUACUUCUCACAGUCACAAUCAGGCGGGUUAGGCAACUCAAAGGCCUUGUUCUCGUACCAAGAACUUGUCAAGGCAACGAACGGGUUCUCGGAAGAGAAUCUAUUAGGAGAAGGUGGAUUUGGUUGUGUAUAUAGAGGGGUGUUACCAGAUGGGAGACUCGUAGCUGUGAAACAGCUUAAAGUAGGUGGAGGACAAGGUGACCGUGAGUUCAAAGCUGAGGUUGAGACGCUUAGCAGAAUCCAUCAUCGUCAUUUGGUUUCCAUCGUGGGACAUUGCAUCUCUGAUGACCGUAGAUUGCUUAUUUAUGAUUUUGUCUCUAACAAUGACCUUUACUUCCACCUUCAUGGUUAGUAAAAAAGCAUUUUACAAUUCAUAUAUACAUGGAUGCACACACCACUGGUACUUACAUUACGUCUUCUGAAUAGUAUCCAAAGAGGUUCUGGACUGGGCAACACGAGUUAGAAUCGCUGCUGGUGCAGCUCGUGGACUAGCUUACCUCCAUGAAGAUUGUAAGUUGCUUCUCACCUCACUGGUUUUAACCUUUUCAGUCAUUUUUUCUUGCUUUUGAUUGUAACCUUUUAAACCAUUUGGCUAUUCUUACUGAGCUGUCUAUUGUCAGGUCACCCGCGGAUCAUCCACAGGGACAUUAAGUCGUCUAACAUUCUUUUAGAGGACAACUUUGAUGCUCGGGUAACACAUUACUCCCCCUAUUCUUGAUUUUUCAAGGUUUUAGUUACAUGGUGACUAGUGCCGGUCCUGAGAUUUGGGGGAGGCUUCAGGUGAUUUAGUAAAGGUUUUGAAUAAUUUUUUUUUUUACAAAUUUGGGAAACUAUAUCUAUAUAAUUCGUUUCAAAAAAUUUGUGGGCUUUAGGCUAAUGUUUCACUAGGCUAUGCCCAAGACCGGCUCUAAUUAUUGGUGAAUUUGACAAUAUCUAAACCUCUCACUCUCUUGUAGGUUUCUGACUUUGGUCUUGCAAGAUUAGCUCUUGAUUGUAACACUCAUAUCACCACAAGGGUUAUGGGAACAUUUGGGUACAUUCUUGCUUGCCUAGUUUUGAUUAAAGGGCACAAGAUUGGCAUCUACUUGAUAUUUUUUUUACCUCAUUCAUCCUUUUGCAGCUACUUGGCUCCUGAAUAUGCAUCAAGUGGGAAACUAACAGAGAAAUCAGAUGUAUACUCCUUUGGAGUUGUUCUUCUUGAGUUAAUCACUGGACGUAAACCUGUUGAUACAUCUCAACCACUUGGAGAGGAGAGCCUUGUUGAAUGGGUACACCUUCUAUUCCAACCUUACUUAACCUGUAAAACAUGAUUAGUCCUUGAGCUGUUUCCCAGCUCUGUUGUUGUUCAGGCACGGCCACUGAUAAGUCAUGCCAUCGAAACCGAGGAGUUCGGUUCUUUAGCAGACCCUAAGCUUGGAGGAAACUAUGUGGAUUCCGAAAUGUUUAGAAUGAUUGAAGCAGCAGGAGCCUGCGUGCGCCAUUCAGCUGCCAAGAGACCCCGGAUGGGUCAAGUACAUAACAUUUUCUCUUCUUGUUUACUCUCAAGAGUUUUUUACUUUUGCUUAGAAAUUUGAAAUGUUUUUAUUGGCAGAUUGUGAGGGCUCUUGAGAGUUUAUCUGCGGAAGACCUCACUAAUGGGAUGAGACUAGGUGAAAGCGAGGUCUUUGACUCAGCUCAACAGUCAGCAGAGAUCAGAUUGUUCAGAAGAAUGGCUUUUGGUAGCCAAAACUACAGUACAGAUUUUUUCACACAUACUAGCUACAACAGCAGAGACCAAAACGUGUAAAUAUCAUACACAAGAUAUGUUUUUUUUUAUCUUCUCGGCGUUAAGAGGGAACAAAACCCAUCAAGAACAGCUAAGUUUUGUCUGAAAAGCUCCCAAGCUCACUUUCUUGAGUGCUCAAAACAGUAUGAAUCUCCUUUUGUUUCUUUGUUUACUCUUAACUUGUGUUCAUGUUCUUGUGUCCAUAUGGUGAAACUAAAGAGACUACCAAAUACAAUUUGCAGAAACAGACGAGCAUGUGGUAGAGGAAGAUGAGGAAUAAAGGUUUACUUAUGUUCUUGAGCAAGAGGGUUUUGUUUCUUACAUGAAAGCACUUUUUGUAUCUAUUUUUUUUUAUGUUUCUAAUUUUUUUUUAAAUCUUUACCUUCAAGUUUUAUGAUAAAUCAACAAGGAUCUUUCUGUGUCUCGUUGAAGAACGUGUUGAUCUGGCUCAAGUUAUACAUCUAAGAAGACGCAUUUACCCCUAUGAAUCACCAUGAUGGAGAGUAUAAUCAAAGGAACGUAGGAAACAAAAGAAUCUUAGUUGCUUUGACGUCCAAGAUACCUAAACAAUGCUUUUUUAAAGUGUAAAGAUCCCUUGUGGAUUUUCAUACAGUUAUGAGAAAAAACAAACACAUGGGAUGUUGCUUUGCGUUGCAUUGUUGAUACCAAUAUUGGCAAAGGAACACAUUCCUUUGACACAAUCCUAUGUAACCUCUCAAUCUAUGUUUCCUCCUUCCUUUAUAUCUUUGUUGUUUUACCUUAACAGUUUUCAAUGCAUCAAAAACAAUGGAACAAGAUUGUGGUGCUUUUACAGCAGAUUGUGUUGUCCUCUGUUGCUGCUGUGAGUGCUUUAUCCUACAGUUCUUUAUCUUCGUCUUCUACAAGAUGCCUUCUAAAGUUGCUCACAAGAUGAAGAGGUUUGUCAUCAGGAGGCUGCUCAGAGGAAAGAAGAGAAGAUUGCUGCCUGCAAAGGAUGAGGAUUGCAGAGAAGAGGAGCGUUUGCCUGGUGAUGUCUCCAGAGUUAGUUGCAUGGAAGAUAUUGAGGAGAUGUUGCAUGAGCUCUCCAUGGAGGGAGAGUUUGUAUUUGGGAGUUUCUGGCGUCAAGGAGAGACUACAAACGAUUUUGACUUCGGAAACUCACAAUAUGAAAUAGAAGAAACCAAUGAUCAUUCCUUUGUCAUUGCUCAUCACACAAGAUGUCUUCAUUGCUCUAAGAAUGACAAUAUAUUAAAGGAAUCUUGAAAGAGCCAAAGAGAAAAGACUUAGAUGCUAUCUCUCUACUAGAAGUAUGGUGUAUAAUCUUCAGAGUUCACUGUAAGAAUCUACUUUGUUAAUCAGGCAAGGCGCUCAAGAAUCAGAAUGUACAACUGGUUAACAGUCUAUUUACGUCCUGGCAAGUCGGUUGUAAAAUGGUUAACUCAUGAUUCAGGCUCUGACCUCCUCACUGAUCUCUUUUUAGCUUCUAAUCUUGCGGUGAACCCAACUGUUGUAGGCCUUAUUGAUCUUUGCCUCACCAUAUCACAGUACUCAGGGUCAUUACACUGACCCUCAUACCUCAGCCACUGUAUCAUCCCAUGGUACAUUGGGAAGAACCUCAUCUGAACCGCGGAGUAGAUGAAGUAAGGCAGCAAAGUAGAUACAACCACAAAGAGAGUGAUGACCCAGUAAGAAAGCGACGGCGCCAGAGCUUCAACAAAGACUCUAUACGCACUGGUUGAUAUACUCGCUGGAAGCUCUCCGUAGACGGUCAUGAAGAGGUACCAAACGAGGAUGGAUCCCCAAAUGACAAUGUGCUGGAUGAGUGUGAAGUAACUGAUGGCUAAUGCCAUCUGCAAGUUCACAACCCAGACGAUGCAUGUGUACAUUGUCCCUCCUAAUAUCUCUUUCCCAGGGGUUUUGCCUUGGUGGUUGAAAGCUUGUGGCUCAAGAGAGCUUUUGCAGAGGAAGAAGAUGAUUACUGCGCUGUAGAAUCCGUUGAACAUCCAUCCAAGUAUCCUCCGCCAGCUGAAGAGAACGUUUUGCACACCUUCUUGGUAUAACAGUGGAAACUGUGAAUCCAAAGACAAAACAAAGAGUUUAGUACACAUUGUUUAAUACUCUCUCCGUUCCCGAAAGAAUAUAUUAAAAAUACAAUAUAUGGUUACAAUUAAAUUUAUUAUUUAUUUUUACUAUACACUUUCCAAUAACUAUCAACCAAUGAUAUUUAAUCAAUUUAAAUAAGUUUAAUUAAUAUUUCUUAAUUAUAUACAAAAGUACUUUAAAAAUAUUGAAAAUCUAGUAUUUAUGGAACAAGAGGGAGUAUGUCAGAAGAGUAAAGCUGUUUUAAUGUAAUGAAAGAAGUUUACCUUGAGACAGUACCGUGCAGAUACAUCUUGGUCGAAGACACCAAGAGCAAUAACCGGAAGGGACGAGAAGCAAACAUUGUAAAGAGAUAGGAACCAAUCGUUGUAAGCAGGUGUUGAUGAGAAUGUUGUGUAUGCUUCAUACAAGAAGAGAGUGAAACCAAACGUAAUGUUCUUGUAGAAGAAGUAGCAAAUCUGUGAAACAGAGAAAACUACUGUCAAGAUUAUGUUAAAGAGACUCAUGUCACACGCACACUAAAGUGGGUAUAUACCAUUGUUGAGAUACGCCUGUAACACCAGUGUCCAUGGACUAAUAACAAACGUUCCAGAUAUCUAAACUGAGCAAUCGCAAUGUCACUUGACAUUACAGCCUGCAUGCCUUCCACACCGCUGAUGCCCACACCAAUAUCUGCUUCUUGAAGCAUCCCAACAUCAUUUGCGCCAUCACCAAUAGCUAAUGUUGUUUUACCAUUUCCAGAUUUUACUAGCCUUGUCACCUACAUUUGCCAUGUACUUCUUGAGAAAAAUCUUGACAGUAAACAAAAGUUUAAACCAAAGAAACUGACCAGAGCUUUCUGUUUUGGUGAUGAACGACAGCAAAUGACAGAAGCACAACCAACGGCGAGCUCUAAGAAGAUGUGUUUUAUAUCAUCGUCCAAGGCGUAAGCAAGUGACUUCCCAUCAAUGAUCAAAGCAAAAGCAUCAGAGUUCCCACCAGCAUACUUUAGCUGAGUCUUUCCAUUGAUUAUCUGCAAUAAGACAUUCUCUUUUGAUGCCUGCAAGAUCAAACCAACCACUUUGAUUCAUUUUAUCUUACAUAAUCUUCUGAAGAACUAUCAAUGUUUUUUUUAAAAAACCUUAGCAAUGGCAUCUUUCUCUCCAGUUUUCUCCAGUGAGUGGAUCUCAGGGGUCUCCAAGUUGAUUAUGAUCUGCUUCAUGUCUUGUCUGAGUAAACUACUGGCAAAGCUGUCAAAGAGACGCAUACAAAAGAGUUCAUAGAGUGGAGAGAAUAAACAAACAAAAAAAACUAUAUACAUGAACUCAAAGAGUAGGUGAUACCCAGAAAAAUAGAUACCCAAUAUUGAUAGCAGUCUCCAUUUUGUCACCAGUCAAAACCCAAAUCUUGAUUCCUGCUUGUGCUAGCUUGUCAAUGCAAUCAGGGACCUGAAAAAAAUCAAUGUUAAAAGUGUUUUCAAUACACUAAAAUGAUUAUAUGUAUAACAUCAGUGGCCAUGCUUACUCCAUUUUGGAGUUUAUCCUCAACAGCGGUAGCUCCAAGAAGGAUCAAGUCUUUCUCAACUUUCUCCGUGACUUCCUCUAUCAAUGAUUCUCUAUCAGCACUAACCGAGCUCUUUGCUUCACUGAUUCUCACACUAAAAUCUUUGUAUUCUUUCUCGUCGAGUUCACGGUAUGCAAGUAUCAAAGUUCUAAGGCCUGCAUCAGCAUACUCGUUGACAUGGUCCCUUGUUUCCACCUCAAACUCUCUACCGUUCUUAGAAAGUCUCUCAAACAUAACACUGGUCAAAGAAACAAAAUAAGUUCAAAAAAGAAGAUAUGUUUUUUUUUUAAUAAAGUCACACUUACUUGUCUGCUCCUUUACAAAGUAGUAAGAGCUUCCCAUCUUCAUCCUGCACUAUCACCGACAUUCUCUUCCUUGUGCUGUUGAACUCAAGAACGUUCAGCACUUUGUACAGCCUCUCAACUCUUUUGCCAGUCACAAGAUCAAGCUCUCUUACAGAUAUACUAGUUUGAGUUCUGUUAUAAAACUCAAACCCAAGCUCCCUUGCUGCAAUAACAAAAGCUGCUUCAUCAGGAGACUCAGCCUCAUAAGAGAUCUUCUCUGUGUCCUCAUCCCCUUCAGGUAUCACCGUAUGGCACACCGCAAGCAAUCUCAAAAACUUCUGAAUAACAUCAGCGUGAGGUUCAGUGACCCAGUUCCCAUUCAUUAUCCUCUCAUCUCUAAAAUUAAACCCUUUCACCUUGGCCUCUUCAGCAAACGGUUCCUUAUUGUACUCCACAUCAUCGCUCUGAAGCACCAGAGGAGAGCCUUUCCUCCUUCCCAUAGCCAUCUCAACCUCAGUGACGCCGCGUCCGUAAGCCGUCCCGGCGACAGAACACUUGAUGAACUCCAUGGAGUUGCAAGUCAAUGUCCCAGUCUUGUCGGAGAGGAUUGUAUCCACCUGACCAAGCUCCUCGUUUAAAUUAGAGGUUCUUGCACGAGCCGGCUUGUUGGCUUCCUCGUAGUACAUGUGGAUGUCUUGGUUGAUGAAGAUGCUCUGAAGGACUUUAACAAUCUCUAUCGAGACAUACAAAGAUAUUGGAAUGAAGUAGCUGUACAGCAUAGCCGCUGUUAGGAAGUGAUAGAAGGCAGCAACAUGAGCUCUCUUGGGGUCAAAGAAGAUAGAUGAGCUGUCUGGUCUCAAGUACCAUCUCUUCACCACACUGUCCUUGAAGUCAUCUCUCGUUGUGACUCCAAAGAUGACUGAGCCAAUGAAUGACAUCAGAACCACCAUGAAGAACAUGAGGUAGAUGAUCUUAUCCAUCUUUCUCUCAAUCAUGCUUCUCUUGGAAGGAGGAUCCGUUGAGUUCUGUAUGACCUUUGUGUCGUGACCGGUGAAGAUAACCGCGCCGAAGAUGAACUCCGUGUUCCUGAGCUUUGAGUCUCUGAGGAGAAGCUGCUGAGGCGAGAGAGGGUACUUGGUUCCUUUGAGCUCCAUGGUUCCGACAAAGGAGUACAAGUUGGCGUUUGGAUCCUCGCAUUUGACAAAAGCCUCAAAGCCCUUGAAGUUAAAGUCUUCCCUCAAGGAGGAAGUGACUUCUAGUCCUUGUUUGACUUUGAGAUUGGUUUCGCCGUCUAGGUUCAUCGUCUCUACGUAGCAGAUAGCGUCCUCGUAGCUAGAUGAAAGGAGAACAAGAUCUGCAGGGAAGAACUGGUUCUUUUCUACCUUCACUAUGUCUCCGACGCUUAAAGUCUUCCACUCCUUGGAAUCAAAGUUCCCAUCUCCUCUAUGCACUUUUACUCUCCUAUUAUUCACCUCAAUAUCCUAAUAACAUGAAAAUGCUUGUAUCUUUCAGACAAGAUCAAGAAAAAGACUAGUCAUGGGCAUAUUAUCCGAAACCCGAAAACCGAACUGGAGCUGAACCGAAUAAACAAAACCAAAACCCGACCAAAGUUUACAAAAACUCGAACGGUUCCUAUUUCUCUAUUCUCUACAAAAAAAAAUGGAAACCCAACCUGAAACCGACAUUAUCCGAACCCAUCCGAUCCAAAAGAUUCUAUAUUUGCAAAUACUCUCGGAAUAAGAAAUCAGUGUAGGCAGCGUCUAGGCGCCGCUUAGUGGAUAAAUCGGAUCUGAAUGAAACGAUAUUUUCAAUCCAUUCUUUUAAAAAGAAAUUGGUCUAGAUGUUCAAAAAAUCGUUCUUGGCAAUAAUUCUCUAUGAUGCGCCUAACCACUACUUAGCGCGAUUUAUUGAACAUUAAACAAGACCAUAAUUAAGAUUGCAAGAAACUAAAGAAUCAAAGAGUGUACCUGCUUGUUGCGGCGCCAAUCUUCAACACCUUCUUUAACCAUAGUAGCACCAAUAACGAAAAGGAGAGGAAAAAUGGCACUUGCAGCAGUGUAAGGAGCCAAGGGAGUGAAAGACAAGACGCCAGUGACCAAGAAGUAGAAGUUUGCGACUCUUCUGAACUGCUCAAAGAGCGAUUUUGGUAAGAAAGUGGCGAGAGUGUACUUGGUUGUUCUCACGUAGUUGUCGCUGUAGCUGCUCGAGUCAGCUUCGGGUGAAUCAGGCUCGUUGAUGAAGACGAGACGAGAGUAACCGGGUCCUCCGAUUUGAGAGUGGUCUUGCUUGAAAAACGCUUGAGUGCAUGUGAGUGUGUAGAGCUUGCUUAAGUGGAUUCUUCUCCUUCUUCGUCUCUUUAGUCCACUUCCUGCCAUUGAUAGAGAGAGAUCUGCAGGAGACAACAAAAAACUUUGAAUCUUUUUUGGAUAUUCAAGAAACCCUGAAAAUUAUAUUCAGACAGAACCGAAUUAUUAUAAUAACACCCGCGAGAACAUUUUAAAAAUGAAGAAAAAUAAAAGUAUCAUUUUUUGGCUUUUUUAAAUUAAAAGAAAAAGAAAAGAAAAAAAAAAGACAGUAAGCGAUUAAGGCAGGACCUCAAACCAACCGAGGAGAAAAGCAGACAAGACCGUGACUGGUUUUAUUCUCCGACCUCGUUUUCUGCGACUCUCUCCGGUUACCUAAAUUUGUUUUUUUUCUUUCUCGGGAAAAUGGAUUUAGAAAAAUUGAGUGAGUGAGAGAGCUGAGAUCAAGAAGGGUGUUUACGAAAGGUUGUGAUCUAUUAUGAGAAAGUUAAGAUCUUUUUAAUCUUACAAGCCAAGAAAAUGGAGCUUGAGUGAGAGAGAUCUCAUGGAUUUUUAUGAAUUUAUAGCCAGAAUGAUCUUCUGCCAAUCCAAACAAACUGGGAAGACGAAGAGGACGAGGAAGAAAGAAACAGAGAGAAAGUGCCAAGAUUCGGACAAGUCAUGGUUCCCUUUCUAGAAAUAAUUAAUAAUAAUGUUUGAUGGAAUAACAACAGCAAAUCUCAAAUCCUCUCAUAAAAAAAAAUAAUAAUUAAAAGCAUUCAAUAGAAGGAAACAAACUUUUGCUCUGUGUACAGACAGAACACAGAAAACUGGACUUCUUUUUUUUUUUUAAUUUGUAUGUUCUAAUGAUUGUCAGAUUAUCAGAAGAACAUACGAGAAAAAAAAAAAGAAGUGAGAAUUAAUUUUGGUUAGAGAGGGGAGAGAUGAAGAAGGAGAAGAAUCGAUUGGAGGAACAUUAGAUGCGCCGUCGUGGCUGAGAGAAGGUGAGACCAGCACACAAAAUGCGGGUCAAACACACUUUAAAUUCAUCUAUUGCAUGAAUGAAUUCUUCUUAUUAUUAUUUAAUAGUAUAGAUAUUCUCUCUUUAUUACUUCCUCCCUUUCGAUAUAAAUGAUGUCUCAGGUGAUUUUUUUUAUUUCAUAAUAGAUGAUAUUUUCACGUAACAAUAGAUGAUGUUUUCACAUAUCUAAUUAAUUUUAAUUUUAUCAAAAACUGUGUAGCCAAUUGUGUUUUUAUUAUUUUUGUUUAUAAUUAAAUAAAUUAGUUUUAAAUUAUAUUUUAAUGAUUUUUGUCUAGAAAAUAUAAUUUUUUUAAUAUGUGUGCAAAGAACCAAAACUUUAUCUAUUAUGAAACGGAGGGAGUGGUAUAUAAGUGACUCUUGCAGCAAAGGAUUGAUCCUUCUGGUAUAACCCAACCAUAAAUAGGAGGACUGUACAUUUAAUUAGAGUAAUUAAAAUGUGAUAUUAUUCUAUUUUUAAACCAUUAUAUUAUAUAUGCUCAUAUUACUUUUCUUCAUUUUCUCUUUGACUAAUAAUAUAUAUAAUGAGUACAACUCUAUAAAAAUGGAAUAAUUAAAUAUAAGAUGUUCUUAUGUUGAUUGCAAAAGUUCAUAUUAUAAUGAGAGUACUGAUGAACGAAGGUAGUCACGUCACAUAAGACUCACCAAAAGCACAUUAAAAUCGAUCUUCCAGUCAUAUUAUUAAGUUGAUCCGAUCCCACCAGACAAAACCCCAGUCUCGAGAUCAUAUGGAGAUAUCUUUUUUUAUGAUACUGUUGGAUUGCUUAUAGACUAUAGUGAAGGGAAUUUUUAGCUAACUCAAUCAGAUCCGAUCCAAUACAAGAAUGGAUGGUAGUUCAAACAAUUUAGAUAAAUGAAUUUAAACAUGGAAGAUCAUGAAUGUCAACAUAUCAUAUGCACAUUUUUGUUUGGUUUAAAAUUCAAAAUCCCACAAACACUCAAUUUAUCAUAAUAGUGCUAAUAAUGAAAUAUUUUUUUGCUCAAUGAGUUGGGGGAAGGACUUUAUAUUCUCAAGAAUUUGGUAUGGGUUAUUAGGGGACUUUGGAUUUAAUGCAUAAAACAUGCCACCGGCUUUGUAUAGUUUGGUAUGCAUCAUUUAUUGAAUGAAUGUGGCUUUCAAGUUUCAACUAAAUGUACUUCCUGGUUCACAAAUACCUCAUAAUUUAUUAAAAUGAAAAUUGAACAAUUAUAUUGAUUCAUAUCGUUAGUUUUGCUCUGUUUGAAACGCUAAUGCAUGCAAUUAAUCAACUUCCUCUUGGUGACAAAAAAUAAAUAAACUAAACGUCUGUUUCUGCCUUUCUAGGUAUCACUUAUGUAGAGGCAUACUUUUUGUUUGCAGCCUCUUAGGUUUUCUCCUGUUUUAGCCAUUACUAUGCUACAGCAAUGAAAGGUGUGUAAAAUCUAUAAUAGAUUCUAAAGAUCACGAUCAAUUAUUUUAUGCAUUUUGUUUCAUGCACACGCAAUCAUCGUAAUACCUAAUAGCGCUGGGAAUUUGAGUUUACGGUUCGGGUUAAGUCGGGUUAUUCGGGUUUCAAGUUAUUGAGGUUGUGGUGUUUAGGACUCGCUCAUGAACCGAACAUUUUUUUGGAUAGGGUCAGUUUUGGUCGGGCUCCUAUCUUUUUAUAAAACCCAAAACAUAACCGAGAAUUAGAAAUUGUUCGGAUUUAGUGUGUGGCGUUUGAUUUUGACUGCGAGGGAUCUUCCGCCGGAAUGGUUUCCGCACGACCCGGAGUGGACUUCUUCCAUUAUUCUUCGAGCUUUCUCUCCCUCUACGCAGGUCAUGAGUGGCCCGGAAAAUCUCCACUUGUAGAGUUCUCCGUCGACCAAGACGUAUCGCGCGGAUUGGGUCUUAAUCUUUCGGGCUGCCCAUUUUUCUGCCGGGAGUUUCCGUCGGCGAUGUAUGCGAGGAUAGAUUAUGUCCAAGGUUUACUGAAUCCAUACUCGGACAGCUCUGGAUCCUGCACUGCCUGGAUGUCGACUUCGUCGGGAUCGCCGUCGGGUGAAUCGAUUAAGUUUAUAAUGACAAGAGGCCCGAUGCUAGGAUGCUCUAUGAACUCUAUGGGAAUUACCCUGCUCAACCCCGGAUCUGAACUAGACGCCAAGGCGGCUAGGGCGUCGACCUGAACGUUUUCGGCACGAGGGAUCCGAGUGAGAGCGAACUGAUCGAAACUUUGAACCAAGUUUUGAACAAGAUUUAGGUAAGCAUCCAUUCUCUCGUCCCUUGCUUCGUAUUCCCCGUUGUAUUGGCUUGCUACAAGUUGGGAAUCGCAAUAGGCGUGAAUGCUGCGUAUCUUCAGGCCGUGAGCCAAUCGUAAGCAUGUGAUUAGGGCUUCGUACUCGGCUUCAUUGUUUGAGGCGUGGAACACUAGUCGAAAUGACUGUUCAGCACUUCCCCACAAACUUGACUAGCAAUUACAGCCAUAUACUUUGUUAUUACGUCCAUUGACUACCAUUUUACAGUCAUAGACUUCAUUACGUUUAUUGACUUACGUGUGGUAUACUUUUUUAUUAAUAAAUUAUACUUUAUAUAUAAUUAUUUUAAAAUUAAAUAAAUAAUAUUGUUUUGUAUUUUGGAUAUUCGAUUAUUUGUUCGAUUUCCGAUGGUUCUAGUUUUUUGGGCUUAGAGAAAUAAAAACUGUUCGGAUUAUUAUAAAUUUUGGUUUGGUUUCAGUUUUGCUUUUUUCUGAUUUGGUUAUAGUUCUGUUUUGGGGUUUUGGAUAAUAUACCAUAUUAAGUAAAUCAUCUUAACGUCGUUUUAGCUAAAUCACUUUCCUAAAUUUUAGUAGAGUUAAACAAUGUUCAAGCUCAUUUUAAAGAUCAGUCCUGUGAUUAAAUUUGUUGACGAUUGUUCGUCGUCAGCGAAUAUCGUUGAUGCUAGUUUUUAUAGUGUGCAUGGAUAUGCUGUAGGCGUUUUAAACGUUUAAGAAUAAACUUGACUCAUCUUGAGUUUGGGAUCUAGUUCCUUUCUUUGAUAUUUGUUUGCGGCCAAGCAUUACAAUAACAUGAAGGGAGUUUGGAAGACAUAACAAAAUCUUUCCUAGUGGUGCUCAAUUAUAAUACAAAUGCGCGCGAUUGACCCCAGGGGAGGGGGGGAGAUUAUUGGGCCAUAUUGGACCGAUGUAUCUAUUGUAAGUAGCCCGGUUCAUAUUACGGGAUUAGGGCAAAAGAACAUACGUUGUAUAUAAGCAGUUAGUCUGCGUUACUUGAUGAAUAAGAAGUAUCCUUUAUACUGCUGAGACUUCUUGACAUGGUAUCAGAGCAAGAAGCCUAAGUACUACAAGUUUUCUUGGCUCACUGAUUUUGAGAUCUCUUUAUCCGUUGCGAGGUUUGAUAAGUUAACAACUUCUCUUUGAAGCAAAGUAUAUAUGGCUGGUACUACAAUGACGAAGGGGCGACGUACAAUUUCGCCCUAUGACCUUACUUCUGGCGAUAACACAGUGACUGUCAUUGCCAAACCGCCUUUGCGUGGAUCUAACUACGACGAGUGGUCCACAGACCUUAAGUUAAAGAAAUUUGGUUUUGCGGAUGGGACAAUACCGCAACCCAGUGAAGAUUCAGAGGAUUAUGAAGAUUGGAUCGCAAACAAUGCACUUGUGGUAUCUUGGAUGAAGUUGACGAUUGAUGAGAACAUCUCAACUACCAUGUCUCAUAUCGAUGACUCUCAUGAACUCUGGACUCAUAUACAGAAUCGUUUUGAUGUUAAGAAUGGACAACGCGUUCAACGUCUUAAGACUGAUCUAGCGAACUGUAGACAGAAGGGAACUGUUAUUGAGACUUAUUAUGGGAAACUGUCUCUGUUAUGGAGGAGUUUAGCUGACUACCAAAAGGCUAAAAUUAUGGAAGAAGUAAGAAAAGAACGUGAGGAAGAUAAGUUGCAUCAAUUUCUCAUGGGGCUCGAUGAAACACUAUAUGAAGCAGUUAAAUCAUCAUUGUUGUCUCGUGUGCCUUUGCCAACGCUUGAGGAAGCGUACAACACUUUGAUUCAAGAUGAAGAAUCAAAACUAUUGGGACGCAUGAAUGAAGAACGCACUGACACUGUGAGUUUUGCAGUCCAAGCUGGCUCACGAUCGCGCCCUUCUAAUGAGAAUAGAGGAUUUUCUGAAAACAAAGUCUGUUCAAAUUGUGGUCGCAAGGGACACACGUCGAAGAACUGUUUUCGCCUAAUAGGAUAUCCAGAGUGGUAUGAAGAGAAACACAAGAACAAGCUGGGUUCCUCUCGCGGCAAUUUGAAUUCUGGUGCUGGGCGUGGCUCGAAUAUGCAAGGUGGUGUUUCACAAGGAAGGGGUAAUGGUGCUGGUCGGAGCUCUGCUCAGGCGAGUCAUGUUUUUGCGGGUGGAGCUUCAUCAUCUCCUUCUCUUACUUCAGCUGAUCGAAUGGGCAUAAGUGGACUGAGUGAUUCUCAGUGGAAGACACUUGUUCACAUGCUCGAGGAAAGAAAAACCACACCUAUGGAGCAUCGCUCUGGUAAGCAAUUUCUUGAAUCAUGGAUAUUUGAUUCUGGUGCGACUAAUCAUAUGACUGGAUAUUAUGAGUAUUUGUCUGAAGUUGGUGAUAUGGCUCCUGUUUUAAUCAAACUUCCGGAUGGUCGUUUUACUACUUCGACUAAACACGGAUACGUUCGUUUGGGUUCUUCUUUGAGCCUGCAGGAAGUAUUCUUUGUAGAUGGACUUCAUUUUCAUCUAAUAUAUGUUUCUCAGUUGACUCGAGACAGUGGUUGUGUUUUUCAAGUUACUGACAAGCUUUGUAUUCUUCAGGAUCGCAUCACGAGGAUGCUGAUUGGUGUGGGUGAGCAGGACAAUGGGCUUUAUUUUUUUAGAGGAUUGGAAAUGGCAGCAGCAGUACACGGUCAGAUUCGAACUCGACCGAUGUGUGGCACAGUCGCCUUGGACACCCCUCCUCUAAAGCCUUAAAGAUGUUGCAGUUUUCUGAUUUCAGUACUAGUUCUUUUGAUUCAAAGCUGUGUGAGAUUUGUAUUCGAGCAAAACAAACAAGAUAUUCUUUUCCUUUAAGCAUCAAUAAGACGAGUUUUGCAUUUUAACUGGUUCACUGUGAUCUUUGGGGUCCGUAUAGGACUACUGCAAUCUGUGGAUCGAGAUAUUUUCUCUUUGUUCUAGAUGAUUACUCUUGGGCAGUGUGGAUAUAUCUCUUACCUUCAAAACAAGAGGCACCCACGCAUCGCAAAAACUUCAUCGCUUUGGUUCAGAGACAAUUCUCGAUUCAAGUAAAAACAAUUCGUAGUGACAAUGGAUCCGAAUUUGUUUGUCUCUCACGUUUCUUUGCGGAACAUGACAUCAUCCAUGAGACAAGCUGUGUGGGUACUCCACAACAAAACGGACGGGUUGAACGGAAACACAUGCACAUACUUAAUACUGCACGUGCGCUGAGGUUUCAAGCGAACCUCCCCGUUGAUUUCUGGGGUUUAUGUGCUCUUACUGCUGCAUACCUUAUAAACAGAACACCGACAAAGCUUCUUCAAGGGAAAACGCCGUUUGAGAUGAUUUAUCACAGAUCACCACCAAUGGAUCAUCUCCGAGUAUUUGGUUAUGUUUGUUACGUUCAUAACCAAAAGCAUAGAGGUGAUAAAUUUGAAAGUAGAAGCAAUCGAUCAAUAUUUAUUGGGUAUCCUUUUGCAAAGAAAGGAUGGCGUGUCUACAAUUUAGAGACCGAUGUUGUAUCAGUCUCACGGGAUGUGGUAUUUCUCGAAACAGAGUUCGCGUAUCCACCAACAUCGAUCUCUUCUCCGACUGAUGAUGAACCUGAUCAGCCUACUGCAGCUGAUCCGAAUGAUCUAGACUCUCUAGUUAGAGAGAGUGCAUCGCCUAUUCCUACUACUGGAACGAUGCUCCCCUUGCUAUUGCAGCUGAUGUAGCUCAACCUAUUCUUGCAGAUGCUGGAUCUUCUUAUGUCAUCAUUGACGAUAGCGACGAAGUGGGAACUGUGUCUCUGCCUUCGCUUGUUCUUACUCCUGAACCGGUGGUAGUUGCGCCUCCUGUUCAUACUACUGAAGAAGCUACUUCUGAAUAGGAACCUGAACCUCUUGGCCGAGGUUUUAGAUAGAAGAAGCCACCUACAUGACUUGCUGACUAUGUAGCAACAUUGUUACAUGAACUGACACUUUCGGCUACUCCAUAUCCUCUUGAAAAUUAUCUUUCCAGCGAGCACUUCUCAAUGAAUUAUCAAGCGUUCCUUGCUGUGAUAACUUCUGCUGUUGAACCACAGACUUACGCAGAGGCAAUCAAAGAUGAAAAAUGGAGAUUUGCAGUAACUCAUGAAAUUGAUUCUCUUGAAGAUCAAGGUACAUGGACAGUCGAAGCCUUACCUCCUGGAAAGAAAGCACCUGGUUGCAAAUGGGUAUUUAAAAUUAAAUUCAGAGCAGACGGCACGGUUGAGAGAUACAAGGCUCGGUUAGUGGUUCUUGGGAAUCAUCAAUAUGAAGGCAUUGAUUAUACUGAGACGUUCGCACCUGUCGCAAAGAUGGUUAUGGUCUGUACUUUUCUUCAGCAAGCAGUAUCUUUAGACUGAGAAGUACAUCAAAUGGAUGUUAAUAAUGCAUUUCUUCAUGGAGACCUCGAAGAGGAAGUGUAUAUGCAGUUUCCUCCUGGUUUUCGUACCAAUGACAAAACAAAAGUAUGUCGUUUGUGAAAAUCGCUUUAUGGCUUAAAGCAAGCGCCUCGAUGUUGGUUCGGAAAAAUUGCGGCUGCUUUGAAAGAGUAUGGUUUCGAAAAAAUCAUUCUGAUUACUCUCUCUUCAUUUAUGCUGCAGCUGGAGUUCGGUUACAUGUACUUGUGUACGUCGAUGAUUUGAUCAUCACUGGAAGUUCUGCUGCGAUUAUCACUGAGUUCAAACAGUAUUUGAGUACGAAAUUUCAUAUGAAGGAUUUGGGAGUCUUGCGAUAUUUUUUGGGGAUUGAAAUUGCUCGCAGUCCCGCAUGAAUUUACUUGUGUCGACGGAAGUAUGCUCUGGAUAUUAUUACAGAAACUGAUCUUCUUGGGGUCAAGCCUGUCUCGUUUCCUUUGGAACAAAAUCACAAGCUUGCUCAUGCCAAAGAUACUCCAUUCUCUGCACCGUCCAGAUACCGUAGACUGAUUGGUCGUAUCAUAUAUCUUGGAGUCACGAGACCAGAGCUUUCGUAUGUGAUACAUUUAUUGUCGCAGUUUAUGAAUGAUCCGCAAGAAGAACAUUGGAAUGCUGCUCUUCGUGUUGUACGAUACCUAAAGAAUAGUCCAAGACAGGGAAUACUUCUUCGUGCAAACACUGAGCUGAAGAUUACAGCAUGGUGAGAUGCGGACUGGGGCACUUGUCCGACCACUCAUCGUUCACUCACGGGAUGGUUCAUGCAAUUAGGAGGUUCUCCGGUAUCUUGGAAAACACAUAAGCAUGAUGUUGUCUCGCGAUCGUCUGCCGAGGCAGAGUACCGCGCAAUGGCUGAUACUGUUAGCGAACUUCUUUGGUUUCGCGGGUUGCUUCCAGAAAUGGGGAUAACGUGUGAUGCUCCUAUUGUUCUCCAUUCAGAUAGUAUGUCUGCAAUUCAUUUGGCCAAGAACCCUGUGUAUCACGCUCGCACCAAGCAUGUUGGGAAUGAUUGCCACUUCAUUCGAGAUGAGAUCAUUCGAGGCACGAUUGCAACUAAACAUGUCUCGACGAAGUCGCAGCUCACGGAAAUUAUGACAAAGGCACUGGGACGUCGAGAGUUUGAAGAAUUCCUUGGCAAGCUGGGUGUUUGUAACCUCCACACUCCACCUUGAGAGGGGGUAUUGGGCCAUAUUGGGCCGAUGUAUCUAUUGUAAGUAGCCCGGUUCAUAUAACGGGAUUAGGGCAAAAGAACAUACAUUGUAUAUAAGCAGUUAGUCUGCGUUACUUGAUGAAUAAGAAGUAUUAUUUAUACUGCUGAGACUUCUUGACAGAGAUGGUUAAGAACGGGAGAAGCGAGAGUAGGUUCAUUUUUGUCAAAAUGUGAUCUAAGGUCUAAUUUUCGUGUCUAGCCAGCUUAUAAACGUCAUUGAAGAAAAUAUAUGUACCUCUGACAUAAAGUGUGUGAUCGUGGAUUCGUGGGUAUAUCUUAGCUUUAGUGUAUUCGAAUUCACGAUAUGUGAAGAUGUACGUGACUUAGAGCAGGAUUAUCGCGGGUUACAAGAAGGGGUUUCAAGUGGUGGGACCCAUUUUUUGGGUUAAAAACGGUAACAGAGGAGAGGAAAUAAGGAUCGACUUUGGUAUAUUUCUUGCACUAUUCAUAGACCCCACUGACACGUGACGACCCGCGAUUGGUGGUCUUUUUAAUUUUUUUUUUUUUUAAUCAGCUUGAAAAAAAAAUGGGAAAAUUUGUGCCUAUGAAAACCUGGUCUUAACCUUAGUUAAUUCUAGAUGAAUGGCCUAGUGCGUCGCUCUCAAUGGAAGUAUUUUAGUUGUUAUUGUGUCACUAGUCGAGUUUAAUAUUAUGAAUUUUUUUUUGACAAUUUUAUUAUAUUUUGAUAAUUGGUACGAAGUGAUAUUUAUGAGGUCAUUUGUUUUUAAUAUUUGUUUUUAAAAUACACAAAAGUACAAUAAAAAUAUUUUGUUUAUUACAAAAGUCAGCAAUAGAAACUAUCAUAAAGUCACAAGGUACAUAUACGCAUAAAUGAAGUAUUACGGGUGAUCUUAAUUUGUAGAAUUGAUCAUCACCAUAUGUAUUAACUCAACUUUUUACUCUGUACGUAUAAACGAUUUGCUUCGUUCACUCUUAGAAUCAGAACUCUAAAAGUUAAUUAAUUGAUCAUAUGUGGUACACUGGUACUUGUCAUUAUGGCACCAAGCGAAUUUCACUUUACGGCGAAUGAGAACGCAUCCGAUUUUUUCAUAUAACUAACGUUUGAAUUGUUUUCGAGCAUGAUUAACCCAGAAUUCUUAGAAUAGGGUUUUUAGCGGAAGUUAAGAAUCUCACUGUAAGAACUCCGAGUUAAUCGUGAUCUUAUGUGGCAUGAAUUAUCUCAGAGUUCAGAGGUCGACUCGUAUUUUAUUAUAAUAUGACAUCGAUGUGUGCUAAUUUAAUAUUUUUUAUUGAUGGCUUAUCCAGUAGUUUAGAAGUUGUUUAAAAAGUUGAGCAAAUAGAUUUUAUAUGAUUCGUAGACCGAAUUCAAGAUUUGGGAUUUUCUCAAAAUAUCUGAAUUUGGGAUAAUUUUGUUUAUUAUCUGGAUAUCUAUACUAAAUUCUUAUGCUUAUAUUCUAACUACCGUGAUAACACGUAAAUAUAUUGUAUAUAUGUCACUUUAUCCAAAUACUUUUAAUGCAUUUGUCUAAACAUGAGAAAGUCAGCAGUCUGCAGUAUUUUCGUAUGCGUUUAAUCCGGUAAAUCGAACUAAUACAAUGUUAACCUAAUUAACAAAUCAAUUCAGAAAACUAAAUAUAUUUGAUUAUGUUUUAAAUAGAAUCAUGUUUUUUCAUUGGGAAUCAAGAUAAAAGUUUUACAAUAUAUAUAUAUAUAUAUUUAAAUUCAUAAAUCAGAAAUCUUAAAAGACAAAAUCUAAGAGGGAACCUAAAUUCUGAUUAAACAACACCGCUAUUUAUUUCUCUUACCGAAACACUCGAGCUGUAUUGUAUGCGUGGUGACCGUUUGGCACGAAAUAAUUUGCAUCUAUUCGUGGGUCGGGUUCACUAGUCAAAGUAUCGAUUGCGUAACUUUUCAAGUUACUGGUCCGUUGAUUUGUGGUAAUUCUUGGCACAUCUAAUCUACGAUAAAUUAAAAUUAGUUUUCUAUUUUAAAGUUGUAAUAUACUAUGAAUUUAGCUUCAAAAAACAUAAUUUGUUUUAUGCAAAUGCAACGAGAUGCCACACUCUCAAUAAUGUCGACAUGAAAAAGGAAAAUAAGACUAAUAUGCCCAUGAGAAUAUCCCCAAGAUUCCCCAUGCAAACGAGAGUAGCUACAGUAAUUAUAUAAUACAAAUCAUGUCUUAUAUAUUCAGUUAUCCCUUAUUGUCAAUUAUUUACAAAGCCUACCAUAAUUUUCAUUAAGCAAACAUACAUUGAAUAAUUACAUAUAUUGACGCAGUAAUAUAUUUCGAACACGAUGAUAGAGAUACACAUACUCCCUAAACAUGAUCCAAAGUACUCAUAAAUCUACCAAGCUACAAAACGGUGUCCAACAUUUGAUUAUUUGUAAUGGUUAUUUAUAUAUCUUCGGUGGGUGUCUCCUCAUCGGUAUCAGGCAAAUUAAAGAAAACAAAAGCAAAUAAGUUUCUAAAUUGCCCGUACGUGUGAAGUUUGAACAAUUUAUUAGUAAUGCAGUAGUAAUGCAUGAUACCGAUUAUUUAUUCAUGAAUCGACGUUGACGGGAAGAAAAAUAAUAAUUGAUGUUGACAUGAAUAAGGAGAGCUUGCCACGAAGAUGGUAGGAGCCGACAGAAAGCUAAAGUCCAUAAUUAAUUAUUUUGUUAAAAGAUAGUACUAAUGAUCGACUAUAGACCAUAACUUAGUAUUCCUCAUUUAUUAUUGUCUAUUUUCUACCAGCGAUGAUAAACACAAAUGAAACACACAGCAAAUUGUAAAUUCUGAUUCGAGAUGCAAUCUUAGAAACCUUAGCAAAGAAAACUUUAGAAUGCAACCAAACCAACUCAAAGUAAACCGAAAGAAUUAAUUGAGUCGAUGUUCCAGUUUUUGGAAGUAAAACCUCCAUUAUAUGCUGGUUAAUUACAUUUUUAUCAUUAAACUUUGAAAUGUUAUAAGAGAUCUAUGUUUAUUUAUUUAUUUGUGAUUAAUUAAUUCUCUGAUAUUUAUUGGAAAUAUUUGGAUUAUGCGGCCAAUAUAAUUUCUUUUAAGUGCUUGUAUAAUUAAAUAAAGUUGGUAGCCAUAUAGUCUAAAGUUGUGAUUGGUAUUUACGAUACUUUUUCCCUAAAGAUAAUUACUUUAAGAUGUUGACGAUGAAAUCCACGCGGUUUACGGAAUCUUCAGUUAACCGAGACAAUUAUUCCAUUCCAUCAAAUGUGAUUUGAGAAAUUAAUUGAAUGCUAAAUAUUUUCUCAAUCAUGGUUAACAUUUUAAUUUAGACUUCCGUAUACUUGACAUUUUCUUUUGCUUUUUGCUUUUUGUAUAUUGUUUACACUCUACAAACUUGAAUACACAAUAACAACAAACACAAUCCAUUAUCAGGUGUGCAACAUAAGUACAUUAAGUAGGGAACAAAACCAACGGCGAGACAGUGAAGCAACUUCUCUCGCACAAAAAAUCUUGUAAAAACAAUUGAUAAAAAGCGUUUAAAAUCGUCUGAUGUUAAGCGAAACAUAGGAAAUACAUAGUAUGAGGAUAUACAAUAACUUGCUACCUAUAACUAAACAGUAUAUAGAUUUAUCGCUAAUUAUUGAAUUUGUUUAGACUAAUGAUUGUGCUACUUUUGUAAUCUCUAAAUUAUCAAAACUUAUUGGACCAUAUAAAAUUAAGUGGAAGGUUGUUUCAUAUUGUAUAAAUAUCAUAUCGGAGACUUGGCAUUUCCGAUGAUAUUUUUACGUACACAUCCCAUUCGUAUCAUCUAAGGACACCACUUUGGUCAGUACAAGUGUACAACAUCUUUGGUCUUUUUUUCGUCAUCCUUUUGACGCAAUUAUAUGUAACUUUAGUGUUGUCUUAUUUUCUUUUGCCUCUUCGAUCUCUCUUUUUUUUAUUACUACUUUUAGAGCUACACUUUACGUUGCUAAAAAAAAAACUACACUUUAGAGCAUCUCCAAAAAACAUUAUAUAACUUCAAAUAUGAAGUUUUUUGCUCUCCAAAAAAGAACUUCAAAACUUCAAAUUUAAAGUUUUGAGGAGUCAAACUCUAUAUUUGAAGUUUCACUACUCAAAACUUCAAAUUUGAAAUUUCAUAUUUUUAUUUGUAUUUUGGUCCAUACAAUUACACAUCACAUUUAUAAUUCAUAAUUUUUUUAUUAUUAUUUUCAUCCUUAUAAAAAUUAUAUCUCAUAAGUAUUUUAAGUUUUGUUUACAAAAUUUAAGUUUACACAUAAAAUUAAAUAAAACUUUAAAAGAAGAUUUAAAAUAUUUAAAACUAGAUUUAGAUAACAAAAAUAUACAAAAAAACUUAACAAUUUUUUUUUAAGAAAUUACAUGAAGACAUAACUAUUAGACAAAUUUAAAUAUUACAAUGACACUAAUAGUCAGGUAAUUUUAAUCCGGAACCUUUAAAAUUUCCAAAUAUUGUCCAAUUUUUUUUGUGUAAUUGAAGAUGAUUGUUGUUGUUGAUGAUGUCUUUUCGUACAAUUAUUUCUUGUUCUUAUAUUCACGAGUAUUAAUAUCAUCGAUAAAAGUUAGUUUUUAGCAAUAUUUUAUGUUUUUCUUUUACUUUCUUGUUCUGAUCUAAUGUAUUUACAAGUAUGAAUAUCUCCUGAUUUCAACAAUUUUUUAUCUCUAAUCUACAAAUUAAAAAUGAGGAGAGCUAUUUUUCCUUCGAAAUGCACUAGUAUAUCAUAUAUGCAUUACGAAAAUCGCUUUAUGGAAUAAUAUGGUAUUUUGGUUGAAGCUUAAUAUUAAUUAAGUUAUUUUGUUUAAAAUUUUAUAUUUUAAUAUAAUAAUUUAUUAAUUAAUAUUGUUGUAAUAUGUUUAUAUAUGUGUUAGUUAUUUAAUUUUUUUUUAUGAAUUCAAAUUAGUAAUGACAAAUAUAAGGACCAUAUUAUAAAAUACAAAUAGUUUUGAAGUUAAGUUUGAAGUUUUGCUUUUGGAGAAAAACACCUUUAAACUUCAAAUAUAGAGUUUUGAAAACUUCAAAAUAGAGUUCAUUUUUGGAGACGCUCUUACAAGCCAUUUUUCAAUUUAUGUGUUGUGUGGUUUGAUUAUAUUGGAUGAAUUCAAAUAUAUUUUCAAAGCAUCAAAUGCUUUAUUUUCUUUUUGGUAAAUUUCAGUUAAGCUCUAGAUAACGACAAAAGAUAACUAUAUUCUAAACCUGAUUUCUAUAACUAGAGCUCUCUUCCAAUGAUAAAACUAAACACCUAUACAAAACCCAAAUUUUGCGGCAGGGCCAAGUUAAGAAAGACAAAUACCGAGAAGUGAGUUAACUUCAACAAAUGUAAAAGAACAUUAAAAUUUUAAAAUAAUAGAAAAUGAUAAACAAAAGCAAAGACGAUGGACCACACACAAAAUAAUAGCAAGUGAGCAGGACGAAAAAUGGAAAAAGAAGAAGAAAGGGAUAAGAAAAAUAGUUGGUAAAAUCUAACUGCCACAAUACUAGAAAAAGAGCAUAGAAAUGGGAAGGCAAACAGAGAAGCCUAAUUGGCUAAUGUCCAACGCAUGUCACUCUACCUACAAAUCUCAGUGGUCCUUAACAUCUACUUCUAACCAACCUCUUGAGUACAAUUAUCUAGAAAAUGCAUACAUACACAUAAGUCACGUAACAAAACCAUUACUGACAUCACCAUGUUAUAUCAUCAUGCCUUUAUGAAAUUAACAAACAUUGUUUUAGUCGUGAUAUACAGAAGAUAACAGCUAUCGGACCAAUAAUCUGCCUUGAUGAUAGGAGAUAUUUUUCGUACCAAUUGUUUAUUUUUAAUAUUUUACUUACCAUCCUUUAUUUUUGGGACGCGGAGAAUUUCAUGUAACAAAGAGCUCAAGACCAGAUGGUAAGGCCCCUUGCUUCCCUAGUGUGUGGGUGGGUUUUUGUUUUUGAAGAAACAAUAUUUAUGAGAAGAUGUCACUUUCUAAAAUUCUUAUUGGAUUAGGUAUUUUUUGGAACUGCGUUAUUAAAAACUACCCACUUUUUACAAUCUGUUCAUUAAAAACUUGUCAAAAAUAUGUUCUGGUCUAUCAAAACUUGCUCAUCACUUAGUAAUAAUGCUCCUUUUUAACUAAACACUUAAACUUAGUCGAUUAGAAACCAAACUAGUAUAUAUUUUGCACAUAUAUAUAUCUUACAAGUAACUCAUCCAUAGACAAGUUUAUAGGUGCUAGAUCUCGAAGCUGGACAUGUUUUGAUAGAACAUAACGUACUUUUGAACAAGUUCUGAUAGAAAAUAUCAAAAGUGGUAGUUUCUAAUACUUUUUUUUCUUAAUAUGGUAGAUCCAAAAGAUUUUGUUUUAAAAGGGCUAAAUGAGGAAAAACCUAAAUAGUGUAAUAAAAUAAUUAUACAAGAGGAAUUUAACACUUUUGAUUUAUUGUAGUACUGAUUCAUUGUAACGUCUUGAUGCGUCAACGUGAGCCCAUGUACAUAUUCUUAUCAAUGGGUUUCACCCUCUUCGAUAUCUUGCGCGUUAUCGAAAGAGUUCAAAAGAACUGAUAUAACCCUGUAACAUGAUCAUAUCCCAUAUUUUGUCCUAACUCAUACGAUAUUAAGAUUGAUCAGCAAUCAGCAAUCUGAUAGGUUAUCCAUUUUUUAAUUAGUCCAGUUCAAACAUAUUCAAAUGGUUAACUGGAAAAUCAAGUGUAUUUUAUAUCAGAGGCAACCAACAUCAAUUUUUAUGUCUUUUCUAUUUAAUCUACUAACUGGGGUAUUACGUACGUUGAUCCCACAGUCCGCAAUAGCAUCUCCAGCUACUGAGACUCUAACCCUACCUUAACUUCUGACAUGCUUUUUUGGUUUUCAACUUCUUAAGACCUAGUCUGCUUGAUAUCACGGAUUGCGAUCUCUUCUUCAACAAUCUCUCUGCAUGAUUGCGAUCUCUUCCUCCUCUAUGCUGUUUAUACUUGGACAAAGUAUUUUCUUCUAUUGAAGUAUAAAAUCUAUGGGUCUUUGCCCGUAGCAAACACUAUCUGGCCUGGGCUGUAUCAUCUUUGUAUCUUUUUAUUUAAAUAGCAAACUUAUCCUCAAAAACAAAUAUACCACCAUAAUUACAAAUUACAAUAUCGGCCUAAUCAUUUUCAAUAUGUUAGAUGAAGCCCAGUAUAUUCAACAAGCCCAUUAUAUUUUUAGUCUCGAAUUCAAUUUUAUUAACUCAGAUCCACCUACUCCUACCGGUCAUUAUCCCUUGAAACUCCUGAACAAGAUGGCAUCAGAUCUUACCGGGCGCUUUUAUGUCAGUAGAAGAAGCUUACCUCCAAAUCCUCAGUGUUUAUGUAUGUUUAACGCAGCCAAAACAACACGUUUUGUGUAAUAUUAAUUCCCAGUGUCUUUUUGUUCAUUGUAAUGCCAUUGGUUGUAACAUUAAUGCACAACUUCAACUGAACACUACCAAUAAAAACGUUUGUGAAAAAAGGUAAAUGUUAUUGCCAGUGAUCUAGACUCGUUACCAGUUUUAGGUCGGAAGGAAGCAUCAGUCCCAUUUAGUUUAUGGUUAACACGUUUUUUAGUUGAUUAGUGCGUAAUAAUGACCUGAAAUUAUAGCCUAUUCUCCGCUACAGUUAGAAGCAACGUAGCAUUCUGAUGAAGACUUGAUCUGUUUAAACCACACCUAACCCAUCGUUGCACCAAACUUUCUUUUUUUCAUUCAUACUUCAAGAAAUCUCAAUGCUCCUAAACUCUUUAUAUAACACACACAAUACUUCACCAAUUGUGACUUGGAGCUUCCAUCUCAAACACAAUGGAUUCAACUUCAAUCAUUUGGUCUCUUCUAUUAGCUUUUGCUCUUAUCUCUCCCUUUAGUGUCAAUGCACAAGGACCUGCCGCUUCACCAGCAACCCCCACCACCACUACUCCUCCUCCAACCAUCACUGUUCCUCCACCAACAACCACUGCUACGCCACCAACAACCACUGUUCCCCCCCCAACAACCACUGCUCAGCCUCCAACAACAGUCGUUCCGCCCGUUUCAGCUACUCCGCCACCAGCAACACCGACUACACCUCCACCAGCAGUUACUCCAACUUCAUCACCACCAGCUCCAAAGGUUGCACCAGUAAUCAGUCCAGUAACUCCACCUCCACAACCACCACCAAGCCCGCCCGUUUCAGCUCCAACCGUCUCACCACCACCAGCUACACCACCACCUGCACCGGCCUCUCCUCCACCGGCGUCACCACCUGCACCAACUUCUCCACCACCAGCACCAGCCUCACCCCCUCCAGCGCUUACGCCAAUAACUCUACCACCAGCUCCAGCUCCUGCUAAGCACAAGAAAAAGCACAAACACAAGCGGCAUCACCAUGCCCCGGCUCCAGCACCAACUCCUCCAAGCCCUCCAUCUC